GGGGGGCGGGACAAAGUGGGCUGGGGGGCUCAGGCUGCCCUGGCUGAGGAGAUGCUCGGACAGAGCCCCAGGCUCAGCACCAAUCCUGCCACCUCUCCGUGCCUCCAAGGGGUCCUUGUCCCUUUUCUCCCAGCCCACCACGGCUCAGGGCAGCGCCCACCGAGGGGCUCUCCGUUGUGAGUUCGCCACGCACAAUUUUUCAGGCAUGAAAUUGGACUAAGAGGAUUAUGGGCCAUUAGCAUCAGCAGGAGUGUUUUGCUGGGGUUUUCAAUUAAUAUUCCGGCGCACCUCAGGAAUACUUAUGGGGACCUGGCCCUGCCUGGGGGGCACCCGACCCGCUGCGGUGCCCACCGGGGCUGCCUCCUGCCCCCGGGGCCGGCACCAAGAGUGGGUGGGCAACGGCAGGUGCUCCCAGAGCCCAUUUCAGAGCCCUGCCGCUGCUUUUAUCUCCGACUGUCAGAGAAGUCAGCCUUCCCCCAGCAGAGAAAAACUUAUUCCAUUGUUGGAGAGGGUGAAAAACCCAUUAUCUUCCCCCCCAUCCACUCCGCACGCUGCCUCUGCCGUGAUUUACUGCGAGUCGCGGAGGAUAUUUUGCUCUAUAUUACACAGAUGCAGCUUAAUAGCAUGGGGGAGGGAGAGGGACACAGAGUCCAGGCUCCUGCCUUCUCUGUUUUCUUGUUGAUAUACUGGGUGACUCGAGGGAGACAGCUCUGUGCCGCAAUUUCCUCGCCAGAAAAUGGGGACGUCGGUCACUCCGCCUUACGAAACCGCCGCGAGAUUCCUGGAUGUCCAGCUCCGCGGGGAAAAGAAAACUAUUAUUAUUAUGGCUAAUAUGAUGAUAAUUAUGAUUAUUAAUCACCGGGCAGUCAGGAUUUAAGGUUGGCCUCCUGCCCUCCUCUCAUCCCAUAAAUCAGCCCGGGCUGUUCGUGGGCACGGCACGUGGCUGCGGAUGUGCCGGGUGCUGUGGGCGCGUGACGGCUCGCAGCCCUCGCCGGAGCUGAUCGGGUCCCCAGAGGGGAGCGCGGGGUCACUGGGGGGGGGGCUCUGGGCAUGGGGCAGGGCACAGAACCGGCCCCUCUGGCCCCUCGGUGACACUGGGGUCUGUGGGGCGAGCCCAGGAAGCCUUGUCCCCCUCCGGCCAUGGCAGUGGGGCAGCUUCUGUAUCCCUUUCUCUGGACUGAGCUUCAGGGGCCUCCCAGUGCCCCCAUGGCUCUCCCAAUGCCCCCAUGGCCUCUCCCAGUGCCCCAUGGCUCUUCCAAUUCCCCUACAGCUCUUCCAGCACCCCCAUAGCUCUUCCAGUGCCCCCUUGGCCUCUCCCAGUGCCCCCAUGGCUCUCCCAAUCUCCAUGUGGCUCUUCCAGUGCUCCCAUAGCUCUCCCAGUGUUCCCAUAGCUCUCCCAGUACCCCCAUGGCUCUCCCAGUGCCCCCAGAGCAUCCCAGCAGAGCUGGCUGAUCCGUGAGGCUGUGUCUGUGCCCUCCUGAGGAGUGCCCCGUGCCCAGACUCCUCUCAAUUCCCUUGGCUUCUCCGGGACUUAAGCAUAUGCUUGCAGUUAAUCCCGUGCUUACAGCCUAUCCCAAAUAGGAAGAAUUGGGGUCUCCGGGCAAAUUCUCCUGCUGUUCAAGGCAGCUGAAGGGCUCCCUCUAAUUCAGUGAGCAGUAAUCCCCUCCCUGCCCCGCUCCCCUCCUCCUCCUCCUCCCUCGCUCAGUUCUUUCCUCCCCCUCAGGGAGCCUUUUGGAGGUUUUGCUCCUUUCCCCUUCGUUCCUUCCUUCCCACACCCCAGGCAAUCAAUGGGAAAGCACCCGAUUUCCAGGGAAAAAAAAAAAACUGGGUGCUCCCAGGGGUGCCCUCCCUUCCCGGCCCCUCCCCAUCAAUUCUCCACGAGCCAUCUGUGCCUGCCGAGCUCGGGUUCAACCGGGGCAUGUUUGGUUUUUGCCGGGCAGGUGGGGAACCGGGGGACUCCGCGGGAUAAGGCCAGGAAGUAAAAUAUUUGCGCAGUGCAGGGAAUUAUAACCCACCCACAGCCGUCAGACAGGGGCGGCUGUGUUGGAUGGGGAGGGUACGGCCACGGAAGGGGCUGCGGAUUUGGGGUGGUUGGGUGAGGACGAGGGGCUCGGCACCCACCCGGAUCCCAAACCAUCAGCUGCCGGCUGUCGCCUGCCGGGAGAAAUGUUUGCCAGCCGCGAGCCGGCGUUCCUCCACCUUUCGGUAAUCAGAGCUGGGCUGCAGGCACAGCGGGAGAGCGAGGCUGAGGACAGAGAUAUGGGACUUCCGCAGUCCCCAAAGCUGCUGGCGGCCAUCGGGGCUGUCCCCAAACAGGUGCCGGGGUCCCCCCUGCCCAGCACCCCUCGUGCCCUCGGUUUUUGGAAGAAGAUCCAGAGGGAGGAGAUGGAGCUGGAGUUGUGGCCCCCGAGGACAGCUGGGGAAGGGGCAUGGGUGGAUUUGGGGUCAUCCUCGACCACCUCCACCGCACCCCUCCAAAUCUUUUUUUUCCCCAAGCUUUCCCAGUGACACUGUUUGUUAGCUAAGUACAAAAUAUAAAUCACAAAACCAGUUGGAUGUGCAGCCAAAAUUAACCCUGCGCUCUCCCCAGUGCCAUCCCGGGGGAGGCCAGAAACUUGGGAAGGUCUCAGUGACACUAAACUGAGUCUUGGGGGGUUAUUUCCCAACAGGAGCCAAAUCCCGUUCAGCAGAGGGAUGAAAAAACAAGGGAGCUCAGCUCCAGGAUGUGGCACGUCCACGCUGCACAGAAGGAGAAACUGAGGCACGGGGCAGGCUCGUGACUCCCCCACUGUCUUUGGGGUUGGGAGGAUGGAUGGGGCGAGCGGGAGGAUGGAUGGGGAGAGUGGGAGGAUGGAUGGGGAGAGUGGGAGGAUGGAUGGGGCAAGGGGUCAGCACCACUCAGCCCCACGGAGGUGCCUCCAGGCGUGGGGUACCCGUGUGGGUGCCUGAUGCUUUCCUGCAUCUCUGGCUGCCUCCCUGGGCUCCUGGGCAAGGAUUUGGGGUCUGCCGACCCCAUCUUAGCCCACCCCACCCGCAGGAUGCCCUCCGUGCCAUAUCCCCCCCCCUUGAUGACCCCUGCCCGGGGUUGGCCCCUGCUUCUGGCCCCUGGGUGCCGGGUGCUGCCAAGCCGCGGCUGCAUUUUUCCAGGCGCUCCUUGUCCCCGGGGAAGGGGAAUGCGAGGAACGCGGCCCCGCGCGCCCUGCCUGCUCCUGCCCGGCCACCUACCAGCUAAGAAUAGACCCGGCUUGGCCGGGCCCCCGCCAGCCGCUGGGGACGUGGGGUCCCCCCCGCCAGUCACCUUCCCCCAGCACGGUGAGUGAGGAUAAUGAGCAUUAAAAAAAUAAAAAAAUAAAAAAAAAAAAGGAAAAUAGGUUUCGCUGUGCCCAAAGGGUCUCCAGGCUGGUGAAGGGAACCCAGUGUGGUUCUUGCUUUUGAUGUGCGUGGUUUUGAAGCAAAUCUGCUCUCUAGGAGCAUUGUGCGCAGGCAUCCCCAGCACAGCCCCCGCAGGCCUGGGGUGCUGCUUUCUGAGCUCCCCUUGGGGGGGCUCUGUGAAUUGAAAGGGAAUCUCCUCUUUCUCUGCUCUUUCUCUUUUCCUUUUUUUUUUUUUUUUUUUUUCUCCUUUUUCCUAGGGAGUAAUUUUGCUAAGCCUCCUAAUUUCAGCAGGAAGCGUGAUGCAGAAGCCAGAAGGCAGCAAAAUCUCUCCAGAUGUUAUCACAACAGGGGAGGUGAAGCAUCCUCAUUUUAAAGGUAACUUGUAAAACGCUGGUGAUGGGUAGCAGAGCCCUGAGGGCACCAGCGGGUCUUAAUUGCCCUGGAAAGCUUCACCUGUGCCCCCACCCACGGCUCAGCAGCUCCAGUUAAGCUCAGCUCAGGACCUUCAUUUCAUCUUGAGCUGGGCUGGAGGUAGCUGCGUGCCCUGUCCUGCUCCUGGUUGGAGCUCGGAGCUGUGCUGGAGAAAGCAAUCUUCCUGAAGCUGGCAAGACCUUGAUGACCUUGGAGACCUCCGUUAAUGGUGCAGAAAGCAGCCACAGGGCUACAAAUUACCAGCGGGGAGCUGAGCUGGAUGGAGCGCACCUGCAGCAGCCUGCCUUCUGGGGCUGAAAGCAAACUUGGCUUCCAACCCAGCUCGCACUUUGCAAGGUCUCUGCUCCACGGGCAUCGCGUGGCUGGGAAGGAGGGGCAGGGAUGGUGCUGCUGUGGGGUGCGGGCAUUUGGGGCAGCUGCUCCCCCAGCCCUGGGAUUGCAACGGGAAGAUGCGCGACCGGCGGCUUCGCCUCCCCGUGGGCGUAGGAGAUGGAAGCAAACAAACACAAACCCGAGCGUGGGCGGGCAGACACCUGCCUUCUGCUCCUCUCGGGGCUCCGUUUCCCCCUGUAAGACAGGACUGAGGGUGGAGGCCAUCGGGUGAGAGGGAUGGCGUGAUCUGCCCUGCGUCCCCUCAUUUCCCUUCCUGCUUGGGGCUGCAGCAGAUCGCGGCUCUUUAAGGCUGCAAUAAUCCCUGGCCUGGGAUUAGUUUUGCACCUAAUCACCGCAGAACAAAUACGAAGUUUUAUUUACAGAAGCAGAAGAAAGACGGGGAAAAAAAGCCUCAAGCACGGCUGAUCCCAAGAUAAUCAGAGCUGGGGAGCGGGAGGCGAUCGCUGACCUCAGAGCCCCCCCGGCCCUUACGUAAACGCGCAUCGUCCCUGUGCUGGAGCCGCGGGCUCGAGCCCUGUCCCUGCUUGGACUUGGUGACCCUCAACCCUCAUUACAGCUCAGGCUUGGACUUUUCUGGAAACCCACUUCUCGGCGGGGGUUUUCUGGCCCUAAUGCAGCCCCUCGGUUAGGUAUAUGCCCUAUGGAGAAACCCUGAGACAGCAGCUGCAACGGGAGCCAAUAUUUAGGGGGCGAUGGUGCUGCCAUAAAGGGAUGCUGAGCUUUCAUGAUGGGGAUGGAGGAGACCCCAAAAGCCACAUUGACCCCUAGGAAAUUGUAUUCUCACCAGCCCAGCACCCCACGGAGAUACCACCCACAAGAAGGAGCCAAGCUGCUGCGCUGGGGGUAACAAGACAUGGGUUUAUUUUUCAUCCAUGCAAGCGAACAGCCCAGCAGUGGGCAAACCAGGGAUGGACAGAGAACACAAACGUGCUCUGUCCUUCCCAAGCCUGCCCUCUGUCACUUGAAGCCCCCAUGGCUUUGGCCACCCUGGCAUAGGGGUCAGAGAUAGAUGGUGAGUGCCUGGGCUGGACCUGCGCCCCCCAGGCAUGGGGGCAGCCCGUGAUGGCUCCGUGCCUGCCGGUGCCUGAAUUUCUCUCCCCCUUAUGCAGACGCUGACAAAUAAAUAGGUCUUUUCUGCUUUGGCUCUUGCAUAGUGGAAAAAAAAAA